CAGUAGCCGCGGUAAUACGAAGGGUGCAAGCGUUAAUCGGAAUUACUGGGCGUAAAGCGUGCGUAGGCGGUUUGUUAAGUCUGCUGUGAAAUCCCCGGGCUCAACCUGGGAAUGGCAGUGGAUACUGGCAAGCUAGAGUGUGUCAGAGGAUGGUGGAAUUCCCGGUGUAGCGGUGAAAUGCGUAGAGAUCGGGAGGAACAUCAGUGGCGAAGGCGGCCAUCUGGGACAACACUGACGCUGAGGCACGAAAGCGUGGGGAGCAAACAGGAUUAGAGACCCCGGUAGUCCCUGUCUCUUAUAA
rnacentral:rRNA from 1 species